GUGGAGCCUGCGGCUUAAUUUGACUCAACACGGGAAACCUCACCAGGCCCGGACACCAGAAGGAUUGACAGAUUAAGAGCUCUUUCUCGAUUUGGUGGGUGGUGGUGCAUGGCCGUUCUUAGUUGGUGGAGUGAUUUGUCUGGUUAAUUCCGGUAACGAACGAGACUCUGGCCUACUAAAUAGUCGACGGGCGUUUUGGUGCAUGGGCCCCGUUCGACACAGUCUUCUUAGAGGGAUGAGCAGCGAGUAUAGCUGCAGGAGAUUGAGCAAUAACAGGUCUGUGAUGCCCUUAGAUGUCCUGGGCCGCACGCGCGCUACACUGAAUGGGUUAGCGGGUUGUCCUUCUCCGAGAGGAGCGGGAAAUCGCGUGAAAACCAUUCGUGAUAGGGAUUGGGGCUUGCAAUUGUUUCCCAUCAACGAGGAAUUCCCAGUAAGCGCAAGUCAUCAGCUUGCGUUGAUUAAGUCCCUGCCCUUUGUACACACCGCCCGUCGCUACUACCGAUUGAAUGAUUUAGUGAGGCCUUCGGACUGGCGGUCUUGGACUGGGGCGCCGGCUUUCUCCCAGCAAUGGGGUGCCGGUGACUCGCCUCGACGAGCCGGAAAGAUGUCCAAACUUGAUCAUUUAGAGGAAGUAAAAGUCGUAACAAGGUUUCC
rnacentral:rRNA from 1 species